AUUGAACGCUGGCGGCAUGCCUUACACAUGCAAGUCGAACGAGUGGCGGACGGGUGAGUAAUGUCUGGGAACCUGCCUAGUAGCGGGGGAUAACUACUGGAAACGGUAGCUAAUACCGCAUACCAUCAGAUGUGCCCAUAUGGGAUUAGCUAGUUGGUGGGGUAACGGCUCACCAAGGCGACGAUCCCUAGCUGGUCUGAGAGGAUGACCAGCCACACUGGAACUGAGACACGGGCCAGACUCCUACGGGAGGCAACAGUGGGGAAUAUUGCACAAUGGGCGCAAGCCUGAUGCAGCCAUGCCGCGUGUAUGAAGAAGGCCUUCGGGUUGUAAAGUACUUUCAGCGGGGAGGCGUUACCUGCAGAAGAAGCACCGGCUAACUACGUGCCAGCAGCCGCGGUAAUAC
rnacentral:rRNA from 1 species